CUUUUACGGGGUGCAGCAGGCGCGAAACCUUUCCACUGCACGACAGUGCGAUAGGGGGAUCCCAAGUGCACAGGCAUAGCGCCUGUGCUUUUCGGUACCGUAAGGCGGUACCAGAAUAAGGGCUGGGCAAGACCGGUGCCAGCCGCCGCGGUAAUACCGGCAGCCCAAGUGAUGGCCGAUCUUAUUGGGCCUAAAGCGUCCGUAGCUGGCCACGCAAGUCCAUCGGGAAAUCCACCUGCCCAACAGGUGGGCGCCCGGUAGAAACUGCGUGGCUUGGGACCGGAAGGCGCGACGGGUACGUCCGGGGUAGGAGUGAAAUCCCGUAAUCCUGGACGGACCGCCGAUGGCGAAAGCACGUCGCGAGAACGGAUCCGACAGUGAGGGACGAAAGCCAGGGUCUCGAACCGGAUUAGAUACCCGGGUAGUCCUGGCCGUAAACAAUGUCUGCUAGGUGUGGCUCCCACUACGAGUGGGUGCUGUGCCGCAGGGAAGCCGCUAAACAGACCGCCUGGGAAGUACGUCCGCAAGGAUGAAACUUAAAGGAAUUGGCGGGGGAGCAA
rnacentral:rRNA from 2 species